rnacentral:rRNA from 1 species
UGCGUAGGCGGGGCAAUUAGUCAGUGGUGAAAUCCUGCGGCUUAACCGUAGAAUUGCCAUUGAUACUGUUGCCCUUGAAUAUAGUUGAAGUGGGCGGAAUAUGUAAUGUAGCGGUGAAAUGCAUAGAGAUUACAUAGAACACCAAUUGCGAAGGCAGCUCACUAAGCUAUCACUGACGCUGAGGCACGAAAGCGUGGGGAGCGAACAGGAUUAGAUACCCUGGUAGUCC